rnacentral:rRNA from 1 species
UCCUACGGGAGGCAGCAGUCGAGAAUCUUCGGCAAUGGGCGCAAGCCUGACCGAGCGACGCCGCGUGUGGGAUGAAGGCCCUUGGGUUGUAAACCACUGUCAGAGGGGAUGAAGUGCCGGAGGGCAAUCUCUCCGGUUUGACAUAGCCUCAGAGGAAGCACGGGCUAAGUUCGUGCCAGCAGCCGCGGUA